GGUUAAGCGACUAAGCGUACACGGUGGAUGCCCUGGCAGUCAGAGGCGAUGAAGGACGUGCUAAUCUGCGAUAAGCGUCGGUAAGGUGAUAUGAACCGUUAUAACCGGCGAUUUCCGAAUGGGGAAACCCAGUGUGAUUCGUCACACUAUCAUUAACUGAAUCCAUAGGUUAAUGAGGCGAACCGGGGAACUGAAACAUCUAAGUACCCCGAGGAAAAGAAAUCAACCGAGAUUCCCCCAGUAGCGGCGAGCGAACGGGGAGCAGCCCAGAGCCUGAAUCAGUGUGUGUGUUAGUGGAAGCGUCUGGAAAGGCGUGCGAUACAGGGUGACAGCCCCGUACACAAAAAUGCACAUACUGUGAGCUCGAUGAGUAGGGCGGGACACGUGGUAUCCUGUCUGAAUAUGGGGGGACCAUCCUCCAAGGCUAAAUACUCCUGACUGACCGAUAGUGAACCAGUACCGUGAGGGAAAGGCGAAAAGAACCCCGGCGAGGGGAGUGAAAAAGAACCUGAAACCGUGUACGUACAAGCAGUGGGAGCACGCUUAGGCGUGUGACUGCGUACCUUUUGUAUAAUGGGUCAGCGACUUAUAUUCUGUAGCAAGGUUAACCGAAUAGGGGAGCCGAAGGGAAACCGAGUCUUAACUGGGCGUUAAGUUGCAGGGUAUAGACCCGAAACCCGGUGAUCUAGCCAUGGGCAGGUUGAAGGUUGGGUAACACUAACUGGAGGACCGAACCGACUAAUGUUGAAAAAUUAGCGGAUGACUUGUGGCUGGGGGUGAAAGGCCAAUCAAACCGGGAGAUAGCUGGUUCUCCCCGAAAGCUAUUUAGGUAGCGCCUCGUGAAUUCAUCUCCGGGGGUAGAGCACUGUUUCGGCAAGGGGGUCAUCCCGACUUACCAACCCGAUGCAAACUGCGAAUACCGGAGAAUGUUAUCACGGGAGACACACGGCGGGUGCUAACGUCCGUCGUGAAGAGGGAAACAACCCAGACCGCCAGCUAAGGUCCCAAAGUCAUGGUUAAGUGGGAAACGAUGUGGGAAGGCCCAGACAGCCAGGAUGUUGGCUUAGAAGCAGCCAUCAUUUAAAGAAAGCGUAAUAGCUCACUGGUCGAGUCGGCCUGCGCGGAAGAUGUAACGGGGCUAAACCAUGCACCGAAGCUGCGGCAGCGACGCUUAUGCGUUGUUGGGUAGGGGAGCGUUCUGUAAGCCUGUGAAGGUGUGCUGUGAGGUAUGCUGGAGGUAUCAGAAGUGCGAAUGCUGACAUAAGUAACGAUAAAGCGGGUGAAAAGCCCGCUCGCCGGAAGACCAAGGGUUCCUGUCCAACGUUAAUCGGGGCAGGGUGAGUCGACCCCUAAGGCGAGGCCGAAAGGCGUAGUCGAUGGGAAACAGGUUAAUAUUCCUGUACUUGGUGUUACUGCGAAGGGGGACGGAGAAGGCUAUGUUGGCCGGGCGACGGUUGUCCCGGUUUAAGCGUGUAGGCUGGUUUUCCAGGCAAAUCCGGAAAAUCAAGGCCGAGGCGUGAUGACGAGGCACUACGGUGCUGAAGCAACAAAUGCCCUGCUUCCAGGAAAAGCCUCUAAGCAUCAGGUAACAUCAAAUCGUACCCCAAACCGACACAGGUGGUCAGGUAGAGAAUACCAAGGCGCUUGAGAGAACUCGGGUGAAGGAACUAGGCAAAAUGGUGCCGUAACUUCGGGAGAAGGCACGCUGAUACGUAGGUGAAGCGACUUGCUCGUGGAGCUGAAAUCAGUCGAAGAUACCAGCUGGCUGCAACUGUUUAUUAAAAACACAGCACUGUGCAAACACGAAAGUGGACGUAUACGGUGUGACGCCUGCCCGGUGCCGGAAGGUUAAUUGAUGGGGUUAGCGCAAGCGAAGCUCUUGAUCGAAGCCCCGGUAAACGGCGGCCGUAACUAUAACGGUCCUAAGGUAGCGAAAUUCCUUGUCGGGUAAGUUCCGACCUGCACGAAUGGCGUAAUGAUGGCCAGGCUGUCUCCACCCGAGACUCAGUGAAAUUGAACUCGCUGUGAAGAUGCAGUGUACCCGCGGCAAGACGGAAAGACCCCGUGAACCUUUACUAUAGCUUGACACUGAACAUUGAGCCUUGAUGUGUAGGAUAGGUGGGAGGCUUUGAAGUGUGGACGCCAGUCUGCAUGGAGCCGACCUUGAAAUACCACCCUUUAAUGUUUGAUGUUCUAACGUGGACCCGUGAUCCGGGUUGCGGACAGUGUCUGGUGGGUAGUUUGACUGGGGCGGUCUCCUCCUAAAGAGUAACGGAGGAGCACGAAGGUUGGCUAAUCCUGGUCGGACAUCAGGAGGUUAGUGCAAUGGCAUAAGCCAGCUUGACUGCGAGCGUGACGGCGCGAGCAGGUGCGAAAGCAGGUCAUAGUGAUCCGGUGGUUCUGAAUGGAAGGGCCAUCGCUCAACGGAUAAAAGGUACUCCGGGGAUAACAGGCUGAUACCGCCCAAGAGUUCAUAUCGACGGCGGUGUUUGGCACCUCGAUGUCGGCUCAUCACAUCCUGGGGCUGAAGUAGGUCCCAAGGGUAUGGCUGUUCGCCAUUUAAAGUGGUACGCGAGCUGGGUUUAGAACGUCGUGAGACAGUUCGGUCCCUAUCUGCCGUGGGCGCUGGAGAACUGAGGGGGCUGCUCCUAGUACGAGAGGACCGGAGUGGACGCAUCACUGGUGUUCGGGUUGUCAUGCCAAUGGCACUGCCCGGUAGCUAAAUGCGGAAGAGAUAAGUGCUGAAAGCAUCUAAGCACGAAACUUGCCCCGAGAUGAGUUCUCCCUGACCCUUUAAGGGUCCUGAAGGAACGUUGAAGACGACGACGUUGAUAGGCCGGGUGUGUAAGCGCAGCGAUGCGUUGAGCUAACCGGUACUAAUGAACCGUGAGGCUUAACCUU
rnacentral:rRNA from 1 species